UCCCCGAAUCCCAGCCCUAGCGGCCGGCGAGCGCGGCGAUGGGCGCCGUCGCCUCCACGGUGGCGGCGCGCUUCGCCUUCUUCCCGCCCUCCCCGCCGUCGUACGGCGUCGAGCCCCCGCCCUCGCCGGCGGCCGCGGCCGCGGACGGCGCGGUGGUGGAGCUCAGCGGGGUGCCCCGGCGGGGCGGCGUGGAGGCGCGGCGGCUGCCGACCAAGCGCGGCUCGGAGGUGGUGGCCAUGUACGUGCGCCAGCCCGGGGCGCGCCUCACGCUGCUCUACUCCCACGGCAACGCCGCCGACCUGGGCCAGAUGUACGAGCUCUUCGUCGAGCUCAGCUCACACCUCAACGUCAACCUCAUGGGUUAUGAUUAUUCUGGAUAUGGGCAAUCAUCUGGGAAGCCAAGUGAGCAGAACACUUAUGCAGACAUAGAGGCCGCUUAUAGGUGUCUCAUAGAAACUUAUGGGGCCUCUGAGGAAAACAUCAUUCUGUAUGGUCAAUCAGUUGGCAGUGGCCCUACUUUAGAUUUGGCAUCUCGUUUGCCUCAUUUGAGAGCAGUGGUUCUACAUAGUCCAAUUUCGUCUGGCUUGAGAGUAAUGUAUCCUGUGAAACAUACAUACUGGUUUGACAUAUAUAAGAACAUUGACAAAGUUACAUUGGUCAAAUGCCCCGUGUUAGUAAUCCAUGGUACGGCUGAUGAUGUUGUUGACUGUUCUCAUGGGAGAGCACUGUGGGAACUGUCCAAAGUGAAGUAUGAGCCUUUGUGGGUCAAAGGUGGGAACCAUUGUAAUUUGGAACUCUAUCCCGAAUACAUUAAGCACCUAAAGAAGUUCGUCACAGCCAUAGAGAAGUCCCCACCACUGAAAGAUGAAUCUCCAGAAAGUUCAGGCCCUUCAGAUCUUGAAACAGGAUCUGAAAGUAUGGAGAGUUCAAGAAAAAGCACGGAUGUGAGGGACAAAUCAAGGUCAAGCACUGAUCACAGGCGGAGUACAGACCGACGGGAGAAACCAAGGAGCAGCAUAGAUAGGAAGGAUAAAGGCAGAAAGAGUGUAGAUCAUCCUGACAAACCACGGGCUAGUGUGGAUCAAUCUGAUAAGCCACGGAAAAGCAUUGACCGCUUUGGAGGGAUGAUGAGGUCGGUUAAAUUGUGCAAUAUUGACUGCUUCAAAGUAACUUCCACUUCCGGGAGCUGAAAAUAGUGGAAGAGUUGCUGACGGCAACCGACAGCGUGAGAGGACCGGAAACCAGGCUGGAGCCCACUGUCGACAAAACCAUCACAGACGAGGGAAGCAGAAGCAAUGCACUGACAAGAGGAGAGAUGGUUCUUGGAGAUGCAGCCAUGGAGAAGACGGAUGAUAGAAGCACGGCAAGCCCAGCUGCAAAACAUUCUGUUGGACAAUGUGGGCAUGGAGGAGGGAAGGAUCUGAGUAUGGACUGUUAUUUUAGGAGCAGGAAACUUCAUCCAGGGGCUUACUUCGAUGGCCACAUACCCUUCACCGCUGAUUACCGUAGACCACGGAACCACCCGCCCAAGAACAACUAGGAGUGGGUAGGGUAUAGCUAGCUUGUUUCCCUUGCCUUUUUUCUUUUUCUUUUGGCUGGCCAUUCUAUUUGUCAGAUAUGGCCUUCCUUCUUGUUAGAUAUAGGUGUUUAGUGAC